UGAUAGUCUUAUAACCAGGAGAUUGAGGCAACCAAUUCUAUCCUUUAGCUAUUAUUAGACUGUAGCUCUUGUCCAUUCAUGUCAUAUAUGUUUUCUCCACCGCUUGGACUAUUUUAGUAGUUGGUUCUUAUUAAUAUCUCCUUCUGUUUGUGCAUGUAUAAAGCAUGCUUAGUUUUCAAAAGAACUUCAAAAAGUUAUCAUCUUUGCUUUCUUAUGGAGCCAAAUAGGGAAUGAUAUCUAGUAUCUAGAUGGAUAAGAAAUGUAUAAAAAUAUUUCUAUAAUUAUAAUAGUAAUAUUAAUUAUAUUACUGCUCUUAGGCAAUGUUGACAACGGUGCAAGGUGCACUCUAGGCACUAGAACUGUUAUAUUGCCUGAUCUAAUUUUUCUACAAAACAUGCAAUCUUUUUGUCGAUCAGUAUGCAUUUUUCCUUAUGGAGAGUUUGAUACCACGAUAUUCUACUAGUAAGGUACAUCUAAUGAAGAAAGUGAACUAAAAGAAACAGAAGAAAACAUCGAGGCAGGUUUUUUUUAUGCUUAUUGCCUUACAAAAAUCAUGCUUGGUUGUGCCAGGCAUGCUGCAUGCGCUUGAUCAAAUGCACCCAACCUGAAAGGGUGUGAGGAAUUGUUUGUCUAGCACUAAGGUCCUAGGUGCAGGUGCACUUAGGUGCACAUCUUGACAACACUGAUGAUAGGAUUAACUUAAAGAAAAUAAUGG